AUGUGGAAUGAAUUUGAGCAAUUAGAGCGAAAAAUAAGGGAGUAUUGGAUUUUUAGCGAUUCAGCGGUUAAAAAUGUCUUGUUACUUAAGUCCUGCAACGCCGAACCGCAAGUAUGCAGACUCAGCAUGCCUGGUGGCCGAGGCGUAUUUGCUUCACUUUAUUUCUCCUACUUUUACUCGGUCUGUAAGAGUCUCGCCUCGACCCCGUAUGUUUCAUAAUAAAACCGCUUGUACUGUUCUAAAAACUAAGUUCGCUAGUGAAUGACCAUACCUUCUGCGCGACAGGGAGGUCUAUGUUUUUCUGGGUAUACCACUCAGUUGCUCUGCGUCCGAUAUACCAAACAAGGUAGCUGCAUCCCAUACCUGGGGUAACUGGGUACACCACUUUUCCAAUGUUUAACAAGUUAUGUUCAUAUUUUAAGUUUUUUACAUUUAAUCAUUAUAUACCGACUACAUAACUCAUUUUUUGGAAAAUUGAAGCUGAAAUCUCCAUGUUCAUUGAAAAUCUUACAAUUUCUGAGUUGAUACAAUGACCGUCUAUUUUGUGGCAAAAUCCUUGUAAAGACGAACUUUUCAGCAAAAUCUCCCAAGUUAAACUACGCUUUGCUCGAAAGUCAUUAAAUACGUUUUCUUACUUUAAGCUGAUACAGUUUCCAAGAAGCAAGUUAUACUUGUUGUGAGUAAAGUUUGAUUCAUUUCAAAAUUUUUAUUCCACCAUUUUUCAAAGCUUUAGGCUGCAAACCCUCCUAGCAUCUAGAGUGUUCUUCAAAUACUUUGGCAGCUUAUCCAUUUUAGUUCUUUGGCAAAUUUAGAGAAAGUUUCUGCCAACAUUUUCAAAAUUUGGAAAUUCCGAAAAAUUUCAGAGCCAAUAACCCAAUUACCCCAAUUUGAUGGGUGACUGGGUUUGGCAACAAAAGAAGUAGUAGAAGUUCCUUUUUCUUUGAAAAAAUUUGGCAUAAGCUAUUUUAGUUUCGACCUCACCAUCUUUGAAACAAAAGGCUAAUUUAAGUUGGAGCAUUCUACCUAAUCUCUGUUUUUAACAAGGCUUCAAAGUUUAAAUUAUUUUUAUUUUCCAGAGGACUCGUCCCCAGUUACCCCACUUCACCUUCUAAAGCUUCGUUUCACAAAAUUUGUUGCUUGAAGAUAUAGAGGCUGAUUUCCUACGAAAUAUUGAAAUAGGAGAAAAAAUAUGUUGAAACACUGCAUUAUCGAUGAGACUGUUCUGCUUGGCUCAAUUCACAUAACCCCACUACUUCAGACUAAGGCAAGUUUUUACAGAGUAGAGAGAGAGGGGGAGAGAGAGAGAGAGAGAGAGGGGGGAGAGAGAGAGAGUAUUUACAGAAGAAAAAAAGUUAACCAAAGGAGACAUAACUCAGUUUGAGAAAAUCUCAAUGCUGAUGAACCACUGAAAGAAAAAAUAAAUUACUAGAAGGAGAUGCAGUUCACUUUAAAAAAAAAUCCUGAUGGUAUAGCCACUGGAAUAAGAAAAUGAAGAUAUGUGAAAAUUUAAAAAUGUAAGAAUUUGAUUGGAGGGCUAGUUUUUUUUUUUUUUUUAUCAAUGUUCCUUGAAAAACACCACUUCCUUGCAAAAUGCCAAAUUCAACUCAUUAGUGAGGACUUUGCAGUUGUACUUCACAUUAGAGUCAGUAAGUGAGUAAAGACUUCCAGAUCACAAAAAACCUAAAUUAGCGUAGGCCACAUCAGCCAUUGAAAACAUCUUAUGUAUUUGACAAACUGUAGGUGUUGAGUUUCACAAAAUUGUAAGCUCAUCUGGCACAAGGAGAACAUUUUCGAUUUUAGAACAUAUUUACAAAACUUCAUCAAGUGGUCGCUUUGCUGAAGACCUUGGUUUUUUUGUGGGCAGGAGGUAUGAUUUGACCGGCAUGAAAAAAUCCAGUUUCUCAUUUGUAAGUCUACUGUGAAAAUUUUGAAAGUGUUCACUUAAUUUUGCUUGAAAUUUUUUAAAGUGUGCCAUUGUACUAGAUUCCUCACUCUUUCAGUGAUCCGUUUUGCCAAAUCGGGGCAAAAGAUGUAAUGCAUCUAGCAACCAGAAGGUUCUACUCAAUUUCGGCAUUGCUUACAAUGAUUGAUUUUAACUUAAGUCCUGGUUAGAAGUUUAUAUAAAAUUGUUAGUUAAGAAUAAAAACUUUCAACGGUCUAAAUUUUCCUGUGCGUAGAACCGAGAGCACUUUUGUGUGAUCCUGGUGAGUUUUGUAGGGGAGAUAGCUUUCUUUUGAGGAUGGUUUUCUUACAGAAUUUGAUGAAACUUAUAGGUACGAUAGGCAGGCUCUCCUAAACUAAGGCGUACUCGGCACUACGAGAUUCCAUGCGCCAGUUUCAAGACAUUGGCAUCAAAUCCAAGCAAAAAUUAAGUCAGUCACCACUAAGUUCAAUGUGGACUGGCCCUACAAAAAGUUCUAGGGAGAGCAAAAACGAGCAUAAUGUUGCAAAAAUGUAAUCUUUUUCAAUUAAUGACAUUUCUUGCCUUCAGUAUUUUGCGGUGCACUAUAGCGACCAUCUCUCUAACCUUUUAUAAACUGCGAGUCAAAACUCAAUUUCCUUAAAUGAAUGUUUUCUGCACUUAAUGAAUGGGAAAGUCCAGGCAGAUGAUAAAGAUAAUAGGAAUAAGACCAAUUCUAAUGAUUUUGUAUCAAUGCAAUACGGCAAAAAUGUGAUAACUGGUAUUGUAUCGGGACUAGGCAAAUGAGCUGAGUAAAGCAAGUUAUCGGCUUAACAGGUUUGGUCCUUUUCUGAAGGGCUUUUUCGAAUUGCAAGUUCUGUUUUGACAAGUAAUAAAAUAUGCAUCGUAAUAAGUGGUUUUUAGAAGUGUUUUAGGAAUGUGUUGGAUAAAACAAAUUUUCAAUUAUCAGUCAAUUUUCAUUUGAACCGCU
rnacentral:lncRNA from 1 species